CAGCCGCCGCGGUAAUACGUAGGUCCCGAGCGUUGUCCGGAUUUAUUGGGCGUAAAGCGAGCGCAGGCGGUUAGAUAAGUCUGAAGUUAAAGGCUGUGGCUUAACCAUAGUACGCUUUGGAAACUGUUUAACUUGAGUGCAAGAGGGGGGAGUGGAAUUCCAUGUGUAGCGGUGAAAUGCGUAGAUAUAUGGAGGAACACCGGUGGCGAAAGCGGCUCUCUGGCUUGUAACUGACGCUGAGGCUCGAAAGCGUGGGGAGCAAACAGGAUUAGAUACCCCCGUAGUCCCUGUCUCUUAUACA
rnacentral:rRNA from 1 species